rnacentral:lncRNA from 1 species
UGGUCUCUUCUUUCACCUGCACGGCAAUGAUCUCAUCAGGUGCCGGAUCUGGCAAAGCUUUGCUGGAAGCUUUUGCUUCUCGUUUUAUCCGUGAGGCGGGAGGCUUCUUGACUGUCUGCUUGAUGGUGCGGGUUUUGGCAGGUAACUUUUUUCCUGGAACAACAGGCGGCUGAAGCUGGUAGCCUGUCAGCUCGCACCACCCCACAGGAUAGAUGUCUGGGGACUCACA